CACGUAGGGGGCAAGCGUUGUCCGGAAUCACUGGGCGUAAAGGGUGCGUAGGCGGGUCUUUAAGUCAGGGGUGAAAUCCUGGAGCUCAACUCCAGAACUGCCUUUGAUACUGAGGAUCUUGAGUUCGGGAGAGGUGAGUGGAACUGCGAGUGUAGAGGUGAAAUUCGUAGAUAUUCGCAAGAACACCAGUGGCGAAGGCGGCUCACUGGCCCGAUACUGACGCUGAGGCACGAAAGCGUGGGGAGCAAACAGG
rnacentral:rRNA from 1 species